UAUAGAAUCCGUACCGCAAACCGACACAGGUGAUCAGGUCGAUUAGACCAAGACGAACGAGUGAGUGGUCCCCAAGGAACUCGGCAAAAAAGCAGCCGUAACUUCGGGAUAAGGCUUCCCCAUGCAUCACAUUGCAUGUGAUGCGAAAUUUAAAUGUUGAAAUAUUUAAAUAUUUAAAUCUCGCAUCGCGCGUAGCGUGAUGCAUGGGGCGCAGUGAAAGUAUCUCUGGCAACUGUUUACCAAAAACACAGCUCCCUGCGAACUCGUAAGAGGAUGUAUAGGGGGUGACACCUGACCAAUGCCAGAAGGUCAAAUAUAGCCGUUGUGCGCAUCACAUUGCAUGUGAUGCUGAUGUUUAAACAUUUAAAUAUUUAAAUUUCAGCAUCGCGCGUAGCGCGAUGCGCAUGGUGAGUUAUAUAAGCCCUGGUGAAUGUCGGCCGUAACUAUAACGGUCCUAAGGUCCUGACGUUUUGAUCUCAAAUCAAGACGGAAGGAUGACUGGGACUGUUGUAGAAAAAGGUAAAUAAUUAAAUUAAAAAAUUAUUAGAUUAUUCGAAUGCUACCUGCUUUGCAGUAAUGCAAAGACAGUCAAAACUUGGCUAACGAGAGACCAGCGUCAAGUACCCUAACUUCUAACGAAGUGGGUAAAGAUAGAGUCCUUCUUAGGAGUAGAAGAGCGAAAUUCCUUGUCGGGUAAGUUCCGACGCGCACGAAUGGUGUAAUGACUGGAGAACUGUCUCGGGGACCAGCUCGGUGAAAAUACAAUACCGGUGAAGAUGCCGGUUAAGUGCAGUUAGACGAAAAGACCCUAUGAAGCUUUACUAUAACUUUAUAUUGAGCAUAUUUUUGGACUGCGUAGAAUAGAUGGGAGAGGUCUGAUGGAUUCGUUUUCGGAUGAAUUCUACUCGUCAGUGAAAUACCAUUCUUUUUGAGGAUAUGUUCUAACCAAAACGGCAAAAACGUUUUGAGACAGUAUAUGGCGGAUAGUUUUACUGGGGCUGUACCCUCGAGUACUUGAAACACCUCAUCCCCCGCCUUCCCCUGAAAGGGGAAGGGGCACCCUCUCCUUUCAGGAGAGGGCAGGGUGAGGUUGGGUUUUGAGUAUUCGAAUUUUACAGCUCCAAUGUCAAAGAGACUCUUUGACAUGAAACAAAAAUAGGGGGGCUUUCACGAAACAGAUAGAGUUUUAGACUCUAGACAGAGGCUAAACCUCUGUCUGUAUCAAAAUUGUGAUUGGAAAGUUGGGAAUUUGCUGGAAAAACCGGUUAAAACAUUCUUAAUUACAAAAUGUUCACCCGACCCUAGAGCAAACAAAGAUUGCUCGGGUUUAGGGGGUAUGGUAUACUACUUGCAUUAGUAAGUAACAAUGUAUACCUGCGGUUAAUCAGCAGGGAAAUAAAAUUAUAUGGGAGAAAAUGCACCAAAACAAGAAGCACCUUCAAUUAAAUCUUUAUUGACAAAAAGACAGAAAGAUUCUUUCAUAAAAUUUUUCGGUCAAAAUUGGUAUGAAAGAAUAGACGCUUUAACUCCACAAGAAUGGGAAAAGGUACGUCAAACAGCCGAAGAUUUAAAAGAAAUAGGACGUUUCCUUAUAAAGUAAAAAAACUAAUUAAAAUAAUUCCCUCAGAGACUACAAACCAACCUCGCCUCAUCGGCGAGAAUGUAUAGUCCGAUCUUCAUGGCGACAUGAAGUUAACACAAAUGCCUAAAAAGUAAAGGAGGGGUUUAAAGGUCAGCUAGGCGCGAAUGGAAACCGUGCCGAUAGUGUAUGAGCACAAGCUGGCUUGACUGUAAGACGUACUUGUCAAGCAGGUGGGAAACCAGAAUCAAGUGAACCGACCACCCGUGUUAGACGCGGUGGAAGAUUAACGGAUAAAAGCUACUCUAGGGAUAACAGGCUAGUUCCGCCCAAGAGUUCAUAUCNNNNNNNNNNNNAAAAGGUACGCGAGCUGGGUUCAGACCGUCGAAAAGCGAAGCUUUUCGACAAGUAAAAAGUUAUAAAGUCGAAAGUAAAAAGUUUGGCUGAUCGACAGUUUGAACCCUCAGAGGCUAAAACAUUUGCUUUGCAAAUGUUCGCCCGAACCUAGAACAAACGAAGUUUGUUCGGUUUUAGGGAAGAAAAAAUUACUGUUUUAAUCGAAGACAACCAAGUGCAUUAAAUUGCACACACGGCGGCGUCCCGAUGUAAAUCGGGAUGGCAAGCUAAUUUAUAUCGGAGAAAUCCCUAGAACUUUUGUAAACAAAAGUUCGGGCGAUAGUUUGCUUUGCAAAUUAUUUAGCCUACUAAAUUUUUAGGGAUAACGCCGAGGGAAUUCCCAUAAAUGGGAUGCCCGUAGAGACUGAAUGUUAGACAUCCUGAGCUUGUCGAAGGAUGAUGUCACAGUCCAAUCCCACGAGUAAUCGUGGACAUCCUAACCCGAUAGCGGGCGGAUAAAUAGAUGCGUGAGACAGGUUGGUCUCCUAUCUACUGCACUCGUUGAUUCUUGAAAAGAUCUGCUUCUAGUACGAGAGGACCGAAGUGGACUGACCUCUGGUGUGCCUGCUGUUCUGCCAAGAGCAAUGCAGGGUAGCUAUGUCGGGAAUGGAUAACCUCUGAAAGCAUCUAAGAGGGAAGCCAGCUUUAAGAUUAGGAAUCGUUAAGAACCGUGAGAGAUGAUCACGUUGAUAGGCUUUAAGUGUAAGGCGAGUAAUCGCUUGAGCUGAGAAGUACUAAUGUUUCGAUU
rnacentral:rRNA from 1 species